GGCCCCUUCUCCGGCGAGCCCCCGAGCUACCUGACCGGCGAGUUCCCCGGCGACUACGGCUGGGACACCGCGGGGCUGUCCGCUGACCCCGAGACCUUCGCCAAGAACCGUGAGCUGGAGGUCAUCCACUCCCGCUGGGCCAUGCUCGGCGCGCUUGGCUGCGUCUUCCCCGAGCUGCUCGCCCGCAACGGCGUCAAGUUCGGCGAGGCCGUCUGGUUCAAGGCCGGCUCCCAGAUCUUCAGCGAGGGCGGGCUCGACUACCUCGGCAACCCCAGCCUGAUCCACGCCCAGAGCAUCCUCGCCAUCUGGGCCUGCCAGGUCGUGCUCAUGGGCGCCGUCGAGGGCUACCGCAUUGCCGGCGGCCCGCUCGGCGAGGUCGUCGACCCGCUCUACCCCGGCGGCAGCUUCGACCCCCUCGGCCUGGCCGACGACCCCGAGGCCUUCGCCGAGCUCAAGGUGAAGGAGCUCAAGAACGGCCGCCUCGCCAUGUUCUCCAUGUUCGGAUUCUUCGUCCAGGCCAUCGUCACCGGCAAGGGCCCACUCGAGAACCUCGCCGACCACCUCGCCGACCCGGUCAACAACAACGCCUGGGCCUACGCCACCAACUUCGUCCCCGGCAACUAAGCUCCAUCCGCUCUGCAACUUCAUUGUCUUCCGGAGGGGGCGUAC
rnacentral:lncRNA from 1 species